UACGUAGGGGGCUAGCGUUGUCCGGAAUCAUUGGGCGUAAAGCGCGUGUAGGCGGUCCGGUAAGUCCGCUGUGGAAAGUCGGGGGCUCCAACCCUCGAAUGCCGGUGGAUACUGUCGGGCUAGAGUGCGGAAGAGGCGAGUGGGAAUUCCUGGUGAUAGCGGUGAAAUGACGCAGAUAUCAGGAGGAACACCAAUUGCGAAGGCAGCUCGCUGGGACGUAACUGACGCUGAGAACGCGGAAAGCGUGGGGAGCAAACAGG
rnacentral:rRNA from 1 species